GGGAGCUGAGCAGAGAGCUGUGAGCACUGAGCGUGACAGGGAAGCCCAAGCCCACACAGACAUACCAAAAAACCUGCAAACAAACCUAGAGUAUGCAGCACUCUUGCGGAAUCAUCACUUUACUGAACAGAGGACAUUUGGCAGAAGCUGCCUGCUCCAUUAGACGGGUGCUCCACAGUCCGUGGCACCUUGCUGGACUCUUCCAAGCAUCACCUUGCGGAUGGGUCAUCUCACACAGCAGAGAAAACUGAAGGGCUCCAGAGGGCUGGCAACACACCGAGGAUGGCUGCAAGUCCUAGAGGGUCCCACAUACCCAGGAGCAGGGCUGGAGAGUACAGAGCGCCAGUUUACAUCAUCCUUCACCAUCUGCAGCCCACUGAGCCACAUUCCUGGGCUUGCCAAGCUCCCUGGCUGUAAAACAUACCUGGAGUCCUCAGGCUCUGACCUGCGCGGGGUGACACUGGUGUUGUGCAAAUGUCACUCCCAGCCUAGGCAGGCUCAGUGACCUCCACCUCCCCAGAGAGGUGGAAUAUUAUCCAGACCACACCAGCUCGACAAAUGACCUAGGUUUGACACCAGCCAUAGGACAUCUUUCUUUCAGUAGGUCUGGCAGAGCACAGUGGCCUAACAGGUAUGGCUACUUAAGUGUGUUACUUCGGACCAGGAGUGCGCUUUUGAAGCAAGUGUCUCGACUGUCCCUAUUAUCACCAUGCUUUGCUACAUCAAAGUAGUAAAAGAACAAGAUUCCCUUUGGAUGAAAUUAAGCCA
rnacentral:lncRNA from 1 species